rnacentral:rRNA from 1 species
AUUGAACGCUGGCGGCAGGCUUAACACAUGCAAGUCGAACGAGCGGCGGACGGGUGAGUAAUGUCUGGGAAACUGCCUGUUGGAGGGGGAUAACUACUGGAACCGGUAGCUAAUACCGCAUACCAUCGGAUGUGCCCAGAUGGGAUUAGCUAGUAGGUGGGGUAAAGGCUCAACUAGGCGACGAUCCCUAGCUGGUCUGAGAGGAUGAACAGACACACUGGAACUGAGACACGGUCGAGACUCCUACGGGAGGCAGCAGUGGGGAAUAUUGCACAAUGGGCGCAAGCCUGAUGCAGACAUGCCGCGUGUGUGAAGAAGGCCUUCGGGUUGUAAAGUACUUUCAGCGGGGAGGCGUUACCCGCAGAAGAAGCACCGGGUAACUCCGUGCCAGCAGCCGCGGUAAUUC